rnacentral:lncRNA from 1 species
UUGCCUUAUUAAUUGUUUCUUCUUGUUACUUCUACAGGAAAAAAGUGGACAUGAUAGUUUUAAAAUUUCAGCAUUUUGCUGUUGGCUCCCAAUUUGCAUCUGUAUCAUUAUACCAUUAUAAGAUCAGCUAUUAUCUCAGUGAGAAGCCAGCAUGGACCACAGCAACAAGUGUGGGCAAGUGCCUGCUAGAGUCCUGGCCAGUCCCCAGCAGCUUGGGCCCACCUGGAAAAGAGCUAUAUGGCUCACGAGCAAUAGCCAGAUGCCAUUGGUAAGUGCUCACAGAGCCAGAAGCACUCUCAGACACCACUGACUGUAUUGCACAGCCCCCAGCCAAAGACCAUCCCAGACAGUAGCUAUGCACAGGGCAUGCCCUAGCCAAAGACACACCCAGAUAA